CUAGACCACUGAUUAAGGUGAUACGUUAGGCGGCUGGCCAGCGCCUAGCACCGAUUAAUCGGUGCCUAAGCAGGAUUUUUGCAACACUGGUGUAGAUGGAGUGGUUUGAAUUG